rnacentral:rRNA from 1 species
GGGACACGUGGUAUCCUGUCUGAAUAUGGGGGGACCAUCCUCCAAGGCUAAAUACUCCUGACUGACCGAUAGUGAACCAGUACCGUGAGGGAAAGGCGAAAAGAACCCCGGCGAGGGGAGUGAAAAAGAACCUGAAACCGUGUACGUACAAGCAGUGGGAGCACGCUUCGGCGUGUGACUGCGUACCUUUUGUAUAAUGGGUCAGCGACUUAUAUUCUGUAGCAAGGUUAACCGAAUAGGGGAGCCGAAGGGAAACCGAGUCUUAACUGGGCGUUAAGUUGCAGGGUAUAGACCCGAAACCCGGUGAUCUAGCCAUGGGCAGGUUGAAGGUUGGGUAACACUAACUGGAGGACCGAACCGACUAAUGUUGAAAAAUUAGCGGAUGACUUGUGGCUGGGGGUGAAAGGCCAAUCAAACCGGGAGAUAGCUGGUUCUCCCCGAAAGCUAUUUAGGUAGCGCCUCGUGAAUUCAUCUCCGGGGGUAGAGCACUGUUUCGGCAAGGGGGUCAUCCCGACUUACCAACCCGAUGCAAACUGCGAAUACCGGAGAAUGUUAUCACGGGAGACACACGGCGGGUGCUAACGUCCGUCGUGAAGAGGGAAACAACCCAGACCGCCAGCUAAGGUCCCAAAGUCAUGGUUAAGUGGGAAACGAUGUGGGAAGGCCCAGACAGCCAGGAUGUUGGCUUAGAAGCAGCCAUCAUUUAAAGAAAGCGUAAUAGCUCACUGGUCGAGUCGGCCUGCGCGGAAGAUGUAACGGGGCUAAACCAUGCACCGAAGCUGCGGCAGCGACACUAUGUGUUGUUGGGUAGGGGAGCGUUCUGUAAGCCUGUGAAGGUGUACUGUGAGGUAUGCUGGAGGUAUCAGAAGUGCGAAUGCUGACAUAAGUAACGAUAAAGCGGGUGAAAAGCCCGCUCGCCGGAAGACCAAGGGUUCCUGUCCAACGUUAAUCGGGGCAGGGUGAGUCGACCCCUAAGGCGAGGCCGAAAGGCGUAGUCGAUGGGAAACAGGUUAAUAUUCCUGUACUUGGUGUUACUGCGAAGGGGGGACGGAGAAGGCUAUGUUGGCCGGGCGACGGUUGUCCCGGUUUAAGCGUGUAGGCUGGUUUUCCAGGCAAAUCCGGAAAAUCAAGGCUGAGGCGUGAUGACGAGGCACUACGGUGCUGAAGCAACAAAUGCCCUGCUUCCAGGAAAAGCCUCUAAGCAUCAGGUAACAUCAAAUCGUACCCCAAACCGACACAGGUGGUCAGGUAGAGAAUACCAAGGCGCUUGAGAGAACUCGGGUGAAGGAACUAGGCAAAAUGGUGCCGUAACUUCGGGAGAAGGCACGCUGAUAUGUAGGUGAAGUCCCUCGCGGAUGGAGCUGAAAUCAGUCGAAGAUACCAGCUGGCUGCAACUGUUUAUUAAAAACACAGCACUGUGCAAACACGAAAGUGGACGUAUACGGUGUGACGCCUGCCCGGUGCCGGAAGGUUAAUUGAUGGGGUUAGCGGUAACGCGAAGCUCUUGAUCGAAGCCCCGGUAAACGGCGGCCGUAACUAUAACGGUCCUAAGGUAGCGAAAUUCCUUGUCGGGUAAGUUCCGACCUGCACGAAUGGCGUAAUGAUGGCCAGGCUGUCUCCACCCGAGACUCAGUGAAAUUGAACUCGCUGUGAAGAUGCAGUGUACCCGCGGCAAGACGGAAAGACCCCGUGAACCUUUACUAUAGCUUGACACUGAACAUUGAGCCUUGAUGUGUAGGAUAGGUGGGAGGCUUUGAAGUGUGGACGCCAGUCUGCAUGGAGCCGACCUUGAAAUACCACCCUUUAAUGUUUGAUGUUCUAACGUUGGCCCCUGAUCGGGGUUGCGGACAGUGUCUGGUGGGUAGUUUGACUGGGGCGGUCUCCUCCUAAAGAGUAACGGAGGAGCACGAAGGUUGGCUAAUCCUGGUCGGACAUCAGGAGGUUAGUGCAAUGGCAUAAGCCAGCUUGACUGCGAGCGUGACGGCGCGAGCAGGUGCGAAAGCAGGUCAUAGUGAUCCGGUGGUUCUGAAUGGAAGGGCCAUCGCUCAACGGAUAAAAGGUACUCCGGGGAUAACAGGCUGAUACCGCCCAAGAGUUCAUAUCGACGGCGGUGUUUGGCACCUCGAUGUCGGCUCAUCACAUCCUGGGGCUGAAGUAGGUCCCAAGGGUAUGGCUGUUCGCCAUUUAAAGUGGUACGCGAGCUGGGUUUAGAACGUCGUGAGACAGUUCGGUCCCUAUCUGCCGUGGGCGCUGGAGAACUGAGGGGGGCUGCUCCUAGUACGAGAGGACCGGAGUGGACGCAUCACUGGUGUUCGGGUUGUCAUGCCAAUGGCACUGCCCGGUAGCUAAAUGCGGAAGAGAUAAGUGCUGAAAGCAUCUAAGCACGAAACUUGCC